CAGCUGUCUGCCCACCCAGGCAGAGAGAAAUGAUCCAUGGCAGAGUGGCAAGGGGUCUAGAGGACUGGCACUAAAGAAAAACCAAUAAUUCCAAGGACUCGGGAACUCACGGCAGGAAUCUCGCUGCAAAACCAACAGAAGCAGUGAGGAAAUUGCUCAGCACUGGCAACUGCAUCAGGCUCCCUUCAGCUGCUGGAGGCCCUGAUUUCAUCACCCUGAGCUGCACACCAGGAAAGAGGAAGUUUGACAGUGCACCACCACAAC